ensembl:ncRNA F45E4.15 ncRNA
AGAAGAGACACAACGAAGACGUCGAGAAACGAGAGCAGAAGCGGUUGGUGGGGGGCGGAGCAAGCUGAUCGAAAGCGGAGGCCCCGCAGGCGGGCACCGGGUGUGAGCGGAGCGACGAUGGAGGCCCCCGUGGAUAGAAAAAAGAUGGAAGGGAUUAGAUGAAUAUUGAGAGAUUCAGACAUACUAACUCUUUUUCUCUUUUUUCAUUCCCCAAAAGACA